rnacentral:rRNA from 1 species
AGCGAACGCUGGCGGCAGGCCUAACACAUGCAAGUCGAGCGCUCGUAGCAAUACGAGAGCGGCAGACGGGAGAGUAACACGUGGGAACGUGCCCUUCGGUUCGGAAUAACUCAGAGAAACUUGAGCUAAUACCGGAUACGCCCUUACGGGGAAAGAUUUAUUGCCGAAGGAGCGGCCCGCGUCUGAUUAGCUAGUUGGUGAGGUAACGGCUCACCAAGGCGACGAUCAGUAGCUGGUCUGAGAGGAUGACCAGCCUCACUGGGACUGAGACACGGCCCAGACUCCUACGGGAGGCAGCAGUGGGGAAUAUUGGACAAUGGGCGCAAGCCUGAUCCAGCCAUGCCGCGUGGAUGAUGAAGGCCUUAGGGUCGUAAAGUCCUUUC